UACGUAGGGGCGAAGCGUUGUCCGGAAUUAUUGGGCGUAAAGCGCGCGCAGGCGGUCUUGUAAGUCUGGUGUUUAACCUUGGGGCUCAACCCCAACGUCGCACUGGAAACUAGCAAGACUUGAGUGUAGGAGAGGAAAGUGGAAUUACCACGUGUAGCGGUGAAAUGCGUAGAGAUGUGGAGGAACACCAGUGGCGAAGGCGACUUUCUGGCCUAUAACUGACGCUGAGGCGCGAAAGCGUGGGGAGCAAACAGGNUUAGAAA
rnacentral:rRNA from 1 species